CACAUUGGGAACUGAAGAUACGUCCAGACUCUACGGAAGCAGCAGUACGAACUUUUACAAUGACCGAAGGUCUGAUGAGGCAUGCGCGGUGAGGUGAUGACGUCCUCGAUGUAAAGCUCUGUUGUAAGGAAGAAAUACUAGAAGAGGAAAUGCUUUUAGUUUGACGUACGUACCAGAAAGCCACGGCUAACUAUGUGCCAGCAGCCGCGGUAAUACAUAGGUGGCAAGCGUUAUCCGGAUUUAUUGGGCGUAUAGGGUGCGUAGGCGGUUAGUUAAGUUUGAGGUCAAAGCCCGGGGCUCAACCCCGGUUCGCCUUGAAAACUGGCUGACUAGAAUACAGGAGAGGUAGAUGGAAUUCCAUGUGUAGCGGUGAAAUGCGUAGAUAUAUGGAGGAACACCAGUGGCGUAGGCGGUCUACUGGCCUGUUAUUGACGCUGAGGCACGAAAGCGUGGGGAGCAAAUAGGAUUAGAUACCCUAGUAGUCCACGCCGUAAACGUUGAGUACUAAGUGUCGGCAUUAUGUCGGUGCUGCAGCUAACGCAUUAAAUACUCCGCCUGAGUAGUAUGCUCGCAAGAGUGAAACUCAAAGGAAUUGACGGGGACCCGCACAAGUGGUGGAGCAUGUGGUUUAAUUCGAAGCAACGCGAAGAACCUUACCAGGGCUUGACAUCCAGUGCAAAGCUACAGAGAUGUAGUGGAGGUUAACAUUGAGACAGGUGGUGCAUGGUUGUCGUCAGCUCGUGCCGUGAGGUGUUGGGUUAAGUCCCGCAACGAGCGCAACCCUUAUCAUUAGUUACUAACAUUCAGUUGAGCACUCUAAUGAGACUGCUAGUGUAAGCUAGAGGAAGGUGGGGAUGACGUCAAAUCAUCAUGCCCCUUAUGUCCUGGGCUACACACGUGCUACAAUGGCUGGUACAAAGAGUUGCAAUCCCGCGAGGGGGAGCUAAUCUCAAAAAGCCAGUCUCAGUUCGGAUUGAAGUCUGCAACUCGACUUCAUGAAGCCGGAAUCACUAGUAAUCGCGAAUCAGCAAUGUCGCGGUGAAUACGUUCUCGGGUCUUGUACACACCGCCCGUCACACCAUGAGAGUUGGUAAUACCAGAAGUAUGUAUCUUAACCGCAAGGAGGGAGCGUACCAAGGUAGGACUAGCGAUUAGGGUGAAGUCGUAACAAGGUAACCGUAA
rnacentral:rRNA from 1 species